rnacentral:rRNA from 1 species
GAGUUUGAUCAUGGCUCAGGAUGAACGUUGGCGGCGUGCCUAAUACAUGCAAGUCGAACGAGAACCCUUUUCGAAGGGUGAAAGUGGCGAACGGGUGAGUAACACAUGGCUGACCUGCCCCUCAGUGGGGAAUAACUACUGGAAACGGUAGCUAAUACCCCGUAUGCUCCCGGCGGUUAGAGGCGCUGAGAGGAAAGAUUAAUCGCUGAGGGAGGGGGCUGUGGCCCAUCAGCUGGUUGGUGAGGUAACGGCUCACCAAGGCGAUGACGGGUAGGGGGCCUGAGAGGGUGACCCCCCACACUGGCACUGAGACACGGGCCAGACUCCUACGGGAGGCAGCAGUAAGGGAUAUUGCACAAUAGGCGAAAGCCAGAUGCAGCAACGCCGCGUGCGGGAUGACGGCCUUCGGGUUGUAAACCGCUUUUCCAGGGGAAGAGGAAGGACGGUACCCUAGGAAUAAGUCUCGGCUAACUACGUGCCAGCAGCCGCGGUAAGACGUAGGAGGCGAACGUUAUCCGGAUUUACUGGGUGUAAAGCGCGUGCAGGCGGCGUGAACAGUCGUGCGUGAAAGCUCUCGGCUUAACCGGGAGAGGCCGUGCGAUACUAUCAGGCUGGAGGCAGGCAGAGGCGUGUGGAAUUCCGGGUGUAGUAGUGAAAUGCGUAGAGAUCCGGAGGAACACCAGUGGCGAAGGCGACACGCUGGGCCUGACCUGACGCUAAGACGCGACAGCAUGGGGAGCGAACGGGAUUAGAAACCCCGGUAGUCCAUGCCGUAAACGAUGUCGACUAGGUGUGGUCUCGCAAGAGGCUGUGCCGGAGCUAACGCGGUAAGUCGACCACCUGGGGACUACGGCCGCAAGGUUAAAACUCAAAGGAAUUGACGGGGGCCCGCACAAGCAGCGGAGCGUGUGGUUUAAUUCGAGGCUACACGAAGAACCUUACCUGGGCUUGACAUGGCGGUGGUAGGGAACCGAAAGGGGACCGACCUUCGGGAGCCGUCACAGGUGCUGCAUGGCUGUCGUCAGCUCGUGUCGUGAGAUGUCCGGUUAAGUCCGGUAACGAGCGCAACCCUCGCCGUCAGUUACAGGUGUCUGACGGGACUGCCCGUUGAACGCGGGAGGAAGGCGGGGAUGACGUCAAGUCAGCAUGGCCUUUAUGUCCAGGGCUACACACACGCUACAAUGGCCAGCACAAAGGGUCGCCAACCCGCGAGGGGGAGCCAAUCCAAAAAAGCUGGUCUCAGUUCGGAUUGCAGGCUGCAACUCGCCUGCAUGAAGUCGGAGUUGCUAGUAACCGCAGGUCAGCUAUACUGCGGUGAAUACGUUCCCGGGCCUUGUACACACCGCCCGUCACGUCAUGGGAGCUGGUCAUGCCUGAAGUCGGUGGGCUAACCGCAAGGAGGCAGCCGCCGAAGGCAGGGCUGGUGACUGGGACGAAGUCGUAACAAGGUAACCGUA